GUAGUCAUAUGCUUGUCUCAAAGAUUAAGCCAUGCAUGUCUCAGUACAAGCCAUAUUAAGGUGAAACCGCGAAAGGCUCAUUAAAUCAGUUAUGGUUCCUUAGAUCGUACACACAUUUACUUGGAUAACUGUGGUAAUUCUAGAGCUAAUACAUGCAAACAGAGCUCCGACCGGAGACGGAAGGAGUGCUUUUAUUAGAUCAAGACCAAUCGGCGGCAAUUUAGUUUUGGCUUUAUUGUUCGUCGCACUUUUUGGUGACUCUGAAUAACUUUUGGCUGAUCGCACGGUCUAGCACCGGCGACGCAUCUUUCAAAUGUCUGCCUUAUCAACUGUCGAUGGUAGGUUCUGCGCCUACCAUGGUUGUAACGGGUAACGGGGAAUUAGGGUUCGAUUCCGGAGAGGGAGCCUGAGAAACGGCUACCACAUCCAAGGAAGGCAGCAGGCGCGCAAAUUACCCACUCCCGGCACGGGGAGGUAGUGACGAAAAAUAACGAUACGGGACUCAUCCGAGGCCCCGUAAUCGGAAUGAGUACACUUUAAAUCCUUUAACAAGGACCAAUUGGAGGGUAAGUCUGGUGCCAGCAGCCGCGGUAAUUCCAGCUCCAAUAGCGUAUA
rnacentral:rRNA from 2 species